AUUGAACGCUGGCGGCAGGCCUAACACAUGCAAGUCGAACGAGCGGCGGACGGGUGAGUAAUGUAUGGGGAACUGCCUGAUGGAGGGGGAUAACUAAUGGAAACGGUAGCUAAUACCGCAUACCAUCAGAUGAACCCAUAGUGGAUUAGCUUGUAGGUGGGGUAACGGCUCACCUAGGCGACGAUCCCUAGCUGGUCUGAGAGGAUGAUCAGCCACACUGGGACUGAGACACGGCCCAGACUCCUACGGGAGGCAGAAGUGGGGAAUAUUGCACAAUGGGCGCAAGCCUGAUGCAGCCAUGCCGCGUGUAUGAAGAAGGCCUUCGGGUUGUAAAGUACUUUCAGCGGGGAGGCGUUACCCGCAGAAGAAGCACCGGCUAACUCCGUGCCAGCAGCCGCGGUAAUAC
rnacentral:rRNA from 1 species